rnacentral:rRNA from 1 species
AUACGUAGGGUGCGAGCGUUGUCCGGAAUUACUGGGCGUAAAGAGCUCGUAGGUGGUUUGUCGCGUCGUCUGUGAAAUUCCGGGGCUUAACUCCGGGCGUGCAGGCGAUACGGGCAUAACUUGAGUACUGUAGGGGAGACUGGAAUUCCUGGUGUAGCGGUGAAAUGCGCAGAUAUCAGGAGGAACACCGGUGGCGAAGGCGGGUCUCUGGGCAGUAACUGACGCUGAGGAGCGAAAGCAUGGGUAGCGAACAGGAUUAGUUUCCCUGGUAUUCCAUGCCGUAAACGGUGGGCGCUAGGUGUAGGGGUCUUCCACGACUUCUGUGCCGUAGCUAACGCAUUAAGCGCCCCGCCUGGGGAGUACGGCCGCAAGGCUAAAACUCAAAGGAAUUGACGGGG